UACGUAGGUCCCGAGCGUUGUCCGGGUUUAUUGGGCGUAAAGCGAGCGCAGGUGGUUUAUUAAGUCUGGUGUAAAAGGCAGUGGCUCAACCAUUGUAUGCAUUGGAAACUGGUAGACUUGAGUGCAGGAGAGGAGAGUGGAAUUCCAUGUGUAGCGGUGAAAUGCGUAGAUAUAUGGAGGAACACUGGUGGCGAAAGCGGCUCUCUGGCCUGUAACUGACACUGAGGCUCGAAAGCGUGGGGAGCAAACAGG
rnacentral:rRNA from 1 species